GACAACAUUAAACCCUGCAGAAGGUGUGACCUCAAGGACACUCCCCUCCAGGCUGUCCCUGGCUGGAAGGGAGGUUCUGGUGGGGGCCACCUUGAGCAGGAGGCCUGAGACCAGAUGUGAGACAGCUGAGCCCCAUGUGUGCCCCUUGUGACUUCACUGAUGGGCUCAGCACCACCUGGGGACAGGCCAAUGGGAAGCCUUGGCUGCAAAUCUGGAAAGGAUGUGGUCCUAGAGGCCUCCGUGCCCUGCCCCAGCCUAGCCCGGUUCCAGUUGCUGGCAGCUUGUCGCCAGGGGUGGCCCGGGUGUCAUCCUCACCCUAACGGCGAAUUGUGCUGGUCUCCCAGGGACUGCCGCCGCCCAGCACGGGUGGUGUGGUAGAAGACACCUCUGGCUUUGGGGCUUGGAGGCAUCUCCUGUGAGCUCAGCCUGUCCCUGGCCAGGCCACUGUCCAUGUCUGUUAGUUGCAGAAAAAGCAGUUCCCCGGGUGCCAGCAAGGAUCACCUUCCUUCGCUGUCACUGACCUUGAGAAGAGUGCCCGGGCGCCCGUGGAGACCCACCAGCCCGAUUUACGGAGGAUGGGCAGCGCCGGGGUCUCUGUCUGCACAGACUUUAUUUUGGAUAUUUCUGGGUGGGCAGUUUCUUUGCAUGUUUUGGGAGAGGUUUAUUGAUUUGGGGCUUCUCGGUUGGGCCCUGGGUUUUGGUCUUAUUUUAGGGGUUGUUUGGGGGCCUCAGGACGGUCAGCCUCACAGGGGACGGGAGGGGGGUGGGUGGGCUUUUCUGUUAGACUCUUGUGGGAGGUGGGUUGUUGUUUGUGUUUCACAUGUUCCCCUCCACAAGCUGGAGUCGUUUCGUUUGGUUUCCACUGUGUGGACAGUGCCUGAGGGGUUGGGGGCGGAGAAGCCCCCCCACUCCCAGACCGCGAGGCACCCACCUUCUGGUGCGAGCCCAGCCCAGGAGGGAGGAGGGUCUCGUUCAGGAGCGAAGGCGGCUCUUGGCUGCUGGGCGACCGCCAUUCUGUGUACAGUCUCCCACCUGGCAGGACCGAAAGCCUGAGGGGACCCCCCAACUGGGCCCCCGGGCCAGACUGGAGCAAACACCACCAGCCUGCCGGCGAUGCCACAGGGACCAAGGAGGUGGAGGACCCCAGACCAGGAGCUGACCUGGUCGUUCCGAGGGGCAGUGCCCCCGAGAAGAGAGAAGCGAGAGAAUAAAGUCCCUGUCGACUUCGGGUCUUUCGAUCAUUGACAUUUCGGAGGGGACCCUCCAGAAGCCAGCGGCUUCCCGAGGACUCACCCUUUGCUGGGAGUGGAUUUCCACACGUGCCUUUGACUUCGGACAGGUCAGGCGUCACAGCCGCCGAUUCAGCUGCCAGAAUCCUGGACAAGGGUUGGUGUUCUCUCUCUCCACCUGCUUCCCACCCAGGACGGAGAUGUUGCCUGAAGGUGAGCAUGGGACCCAGGUCUUGUGCCUUCCGUGCCCCAUGCGCCCCCUCCUGACCGUCCUCCCUCCCGUACACUGAAGCCUGGCAGCUAUAGCAAACUGCUCCUGUUCUCUGUUAAAGGGCCGUGCCAGCUGCUCAGAAAGACCUGUCCUAAAAGUCACUCACCAGCCCUCGCUCACCCCAGUCUCCUGAUGUUUGGGCCAUGAUCCUUUUGAUGUAUGUAUGUUUGAGUCUUUCUAAAACUAUGUAACCUCAGUUCAGUUUAUGGGCAGGAACCCUAGAUGUAACCAAAUCCUUUUUGGGGGAGGUGGGUGCCUUCAGCCCUGCCAUAUCCCAGUGAGACACCAAUUUCCACAAGCCUGCGGCUGGGCCUGGUGCUAACCUGGGCCACCCAUUCAUCUCAGUGACUGCAGCUGAGGAGUGAGCCCUGCCUCUGCUCAACACCCCAACAGUCAGUGCCCAGAGGGUCUCGGAGAAGCAGCUGAGGGGCCUACCCAGGUCUCUGCGGACAGAACUGCCCACAACAGGUACCAAGGCGGCGGCCUCCUAAGUUGGCACAGGCAGAGGAAGCAGCAGGGUGGGAAGUCUCUGGGUUCAAGCCCUUGGAGCUCGGCUCCUCGGCUCCAGGGACGGCCUUGCUGGUGUGUCCCCUCCACCUCCAGUACUGUAUGCUUGCUGCUCCAACCCGUUUGGUGCAUUCCUGUACAAAUACGGAUCUAUGUGCCAAGUGGGACUGUGCCCCCCUGUGUGGGUCUCUCCCCUUGGAGCAUCUACAUCUAUGUCCAACCUUUGAAAAUCUUGACGCAGAGCUCUCUGGAAAAGAGAACCAUCCACAUAACUAAAGAAUUAAGAUUCCCUCACUUUUUUGAGGGCUGUGUGUUGAGAAAGUGUGUGUGUGCGUAAGUGUGCCUGUGUGCGUGCAUGUGUGUAACUUCCCACUGUUACGAAGUAGGAUGGGGUUAGAGAAAACCAGCGGGCACGCUGUCUCCACUGUACAGUCCUUGGCAUUGGGCAGGCCCCACGGGACUCACAGCUUCGGGCAAGUGUGUGUUAUUCACACACGUAAUUCUGGCUGGAGAGUGCAAUGUGUCUUUUUAUUUUUUUGUAAUUAUUUUAUUAAGUAUUUAGUUGGAAACUUCACACUGGCAUUAACAGAUCUAGCAGAAGCAGCCUAGGCCAUCGUCCCGGGCUCCCAAAUAAAGUUGUGGAAAAGAGAUGCCGCUGAGUGUGUUACGCGGCAGGCCGACUCCCACCCGUUGCCAUGCAUGUCAUCACCGUGGGAUGAUGGCCCUCAGCUCUUGUUUCUGGGGAUGGUCAGGGCGAGAACUUGCUCACGGUGAGCUCAGCAGACCUGCAUGUGCAUGUACAUCAGCACCUGCCUAGACCUCGGGCCCUGUCACUUGAUGGGACUAGUGUGAAGGGUUCCCCCCUUGACCUUACUGAGAUUUCUGCCAAAAUCAUGAUCCCUGUUUGGGGCAGCCUCUGUGGUUCUCAUGCUCCGUGACCAGAGAAAGAUGGGGUCAGUGACCUAUUGCCUUAUUUCAGGAAAAGCAGCCCCACUGAUUUAAGCUUCCCUCCUGUUUUGUCCUGUGCACCUGGGCUCUCAGACAAGAAGUUGGGCACAUUGGUGCUUAUAGCCUGGGCAGGCCUGGUCCCAACCUGCCUUUAAGGUUGAGAUUGCCAUGCAUCUUCCUGACCAAUUCCUGCCUUUCUAAUCUUGAGUUUGCACUUGACCUUGACAAUCACCCACCCCAGUCCUAGAACUUAGUGGCCUUAGAGAGUGGGUCCCUGCGCUAAAGGUCCCUCCUUUGCAUCCCCAAGUUUCAUCCUGGCUAAUGGGGCUGGACUUCAGGAGGCAAGAGAGAGAGGAAUGAAUUGUUUUAAAGCAAAAGGAUGGAUCGAGCAUGUUGGAGACGAGCAAGAGGCAUGUCGGCAAGAUGAGUAUGUGCAUGUGUGGCUUAUUUGGGUGUCUGGGACUGACCGUCCCUUCUCUGGGAAGGUGGCUUCCAGAAGAGGGUGUCUAGGCAGAAAGGGAAAAGUGUGAGAAGGCUGAGAGAGGGUUUGGAGUCUUGUCUUUAUUAAAAAGAAGGAAGAAGUUGAUUCUAAGUGUUUCAGGAAGAAGAGAGCAGGUAAGGAGAGAAUUUAGUGAUUCAACACACAAGGGUCCAGCCAGAUCAGGUUGAAAUAAGGCUGGAGGAGCAGCUGGCCAGAGGAAACGCUACUUGCUGUGCCACAAACUGGGUCCCUAGCAAGUUCUUAAUGAACGGUCACUGAUUUACUCAGUGGAGAGAGUAAGUCACCAGCAACUACUUGUAUUUUUGAGUUUGGAGGCCCUGGAUCCAAAAUAUUCAUCCAUCUCCCAGGUUCCCAGCUGGUUUUGCCCACCUCUUUUUGUCUAAUACACAGCUAACCUCUCAAAUUGUUUAAAUCAAAGACUAGAGACCAAAAGGGUCAUGUAGUUAGAGACCCGCCACCCCCAAAUUGGAACCUCAGGAUCCAGAUACCAUCAAGCUCAUCUGGGAGGAAGGCAACCUUGUUUGUUCUUCUCAAGUGUCUCUGAUGAUACCUGUGGUUAUUCAGUUGGUUGAGCCUGCCCACUGGUGUGACUUAGAAGACGGGGGGGGGGGGGGGGGGGGGGUUGUCGUUGUACAGUGCAUACUCAUCCAUGGAUAUGCCCUUUCGUGUUUAGUGGCCUAUGACCAAGACACACUGCUCUUAAGUGUUUAUUUCAGAGGAAGAAGGGUAAACAGCCACCAUUCUUGAAUCUGCAUCUUGUUCUCUGCAACAGGUUUUCUUUAAAUGCAGGACACAGGAUGGGAAAGGGUUUCGCUGCUAGUUACUGAGAGGUUCGCAGGAAGGUGACUGAGUGAUGCACACGUGAGUGGCAGGUCCCGGAAGUGUGGGUUUGUGGACCGCAUGGUUGCAUGUGAACUGGAUGCCUCAGCUCCAGAACUUUGGGGGAUUUCUCGUGGUGUCCACUUAACCCCCCUCCCUCCCAGAUCCUAGUAGGCUCGAUGGGGGUCACGUUGUUUCCUCUUCCGCCCUCAGCAGAGAAACUGAAGGAAAGGACAUUAAAUUGAAUGCAGUCAAUUUGAGCACUAAAAAAUUUCCAGGAUCAAUGGUGGUGCUAAACUAUCUCCAUGUUUCUAUUAUUUUUAAUAGUGGGUUUUUUUUUUAUUAUUAUUAUUGUUCUCAUCACAAAAAUGCAGUGUCCUUGGGGAAGGGAUCCAGCCUCUUGGCCUGUACCUUUCCAGGUGUCCUUUAUCAUUUUGACGGGACUCUUUGGUCUGCAGAAAUACUAUGACUUGGCAUGCUUCUAGACUGUAAGAUUUGGGUUGUUUUGUUUUGUAUUUUGUUUAUGUUUACAUGCAUCUUCUUGUAUUUCCCUGAAAAUUAAAUAAAGUUUUUGACCUUUUUAACUCAA